rnacentral:misc_RNA from 1 species
AACUUUUGGCAAUGGAUCUCUUGGUACUGGCAUCGAUGAAGAACGCAGCGAAAUGCGAUAAGUAAUGUGAAUUGCAGAAUUCAGUGAAUCAUCGAAUCUUUGAACGCACAUUGCGCCCCUCAGUAUUCCGGGGGGCAUGCCUGUUCGAGCGUCAUUGCACCCCUCAAGCGUAGCUUGGUAUUGGGCUUUCGUCCUUGCGGACGCGCCUGAAAAAGAGUGGCGGUCCGGUGCGACUUCAAGCGUAGUAAAAUAUCUCCCGCUUUGGAAGCUUUCGCGCCGUGGCUGGCCAAAACCCACCCACUUUUCAAUGAUUGACCUCGGAUCAGGUAGGGAUACCCGCUGAACUUAAGAAUAUCAAUAAGAGGAGGCU